rnacentral:rRNA from 1 species
GAUGAACGCUAGCGAUAGGCCUAACACAUGCAAGUCGAGGGGCAGCACAUGAGUAGCAAUACGAUGGUAGCGACCGGCGCACGGGUGAGUAACACGUAUGCAACCUACCUUUAACAGGGGAAUAACCCGUUGAAAAACGGACUAAUACUCCAUAACACAGGGGUCCCGCAUGGGAAUAUUUGUUAAAGAUUUAUCGGUUGAAGAUGGGCAUGCGUUCCAUUAGCUUGUUGGUUAGGUAACGGCUCACCAAGGCCACGAUGGAUAGGGGAACUGAGAGGUUUAUCCCCCACACUGGAACUGAGACACGGUCCAGACUCCUACGGGAGGCAGCAGUGAGGAAUAUUGGUCAAUGGAGGCAACUUUGAACCAGCCAAGUCGCGUGAAGGAUGAAGGUCUUAUGGAUUGUAAGCUUCUUUUGCAAGGGAAUAAAGUGGGGGACGUGUCCUCCUUUGCAUGUACCUUGCGAAUAAGGAUCGGCUAACUCCGUGCCAGCAGCCGCAGUAA